GAAAAUUUAGGUUAAUUCGGUUAAUUAACCGAAUUUGGCCGAGCGCUCACCCCUAAAAUCCACGACCACCCAUUCUCUAGUCUAGUCUCCAGUGCGGGCCAGCCGCAGUCUUCGGUAGCUCAAGUCGCCCUCGGCCCCGCUCCCGCCGCGGUGCUGCCUGCUCCUGCCUUCUCGCGGCGAUGGUUUGCGCGACCUUCCUCUACUCACCUUCCUUUUCGCGCGCUCCCCUCCACCUCCUCUCUACCUUCCCAACUCAGACCACCGGCCUUGGUCGCUUCCUCCUCUUAGCUUCGACCUGCCACCGCAGCUUUUCCGCUAGCCGGCCUAGAGCCCUACCGAGGAUGAUCCAUGUCGAUGCCCAGUCAAAGCGAGGCUUCUCCUUUAAGGAUGAUGAAGUUGCUUCUCCUUCCGACACGUGCUUUCAGUCGCCGCUCAAAAUUGUGGAAUAUCCGGACCCUAUACUGAGGGCGAAAAACAAGCGGAUUGAUGCUUUCGACGAUAACCUGAAGAAGCUAGUUGAGGAGAUGUUCGAUGUAAUGUACAAAACUGAUGGCUGUGGGCUUUCAGCACCCCAAGUAGGAAUCAAUGUUCAAGUGAUGGUGUUUAAUCCCGUUGGUGAACGAGGAGAUGGAGACGAAAUUGUUCUUAUAAAUCCAAGAAUCAACAAAUAUUCAAAGAAAAAAGUACUCUUUAAUGAAGGUUGCUUAUCAUUUCCAAAGAUCUAUGCUGAUGUAGAGAGACCAGAAUCUGUGAAAAUUGAUGCACAGGACAUUUCUGGUGCAAGGUUUACAAUCAAAUUGUCAGGCCUUCUUGCAAGGGUGUUCCAGCAUGAAUUUGAUCAUUUGCAGGGAAUCCUUUUCUGUGACAGAAUGACUGAAGAAGUUCUUGAUGGUAUCUGUGCAGAUCUUCAGGUCUUGGAAAAUAAGUACGAGCAUAAAACUGGAUUUCCAAGCCCUGAGAGGAUAGAAACCCGCAAAAGAAGGAAGGUGGCUGCUGGUUUUGGAAAAUCAUGAAUAUAGUUAGCUGACACUGCUGGAGUAUCCACAUACUGAUAGCAGACGUGAUUGGAACUCAGAUCCCUGCGGCUCACGUGGAUGCCAGGAACAUGAUCAUUGGACGUAAUGGUGGAAAAAUGGACAAUGUUGAAGAAUGACUUGUUGAAUGGAACAUGGGGCUAAUUUCUACCGCCGUUGUAAAAUUUUUAUAAGUCUUGGGCCAUUUGAUGCAAACAGGUUCUAGUGUUUAGAGAAGUAGCUACGAGAAAACAUAUUUGAGGUUUGGAUUUAUUUGCCACUCACCAGCUAUGAAGAUCCUGUUUUGGUGGGACUAGCCAUUGUAUGCCAUAGAUCGAUACGUGCUUUCGUCUGUUGAUUAACUCGUUGUACUUAUAACAGGAAAUGUUACCAUUCUAUAUUUCCUAACCUGGUUGGCUUGAAAACUGCAACUUCGUGGAAGAGAAUUGUCACUUGCAUAGAUCUUC